UGCUGAGCAGACUACGGAUGAGCAGGGGUCUGAAGUCCGGCAGAAAUGCCAGCCUCAGAGAAUGAGAGCCAGAGCCCUCAGCAUCGAAGGUGAGCACUGCCAUUGUGUAAGACGCCAGAGGGAACUGAAGGGAGCUGGCAGAGUGUGGCUGUUUGCUUAAGAAGAUGGUGGAAGAUGAAAGGCUAUGGAUAGACACACACACCACCAUGACUACAGGUCAGACAAGUCACAGGGGCAUGACGGAUCCCCAGGGUACACCGGCAGUCCCUGUACUUGGAUCUUGAGCCACGGUGAGCCCCAUUGAGGUGCCUGUCAGAUUGCCAGCCUCUCUCACCUGCAGCGAGCGCCAUCUCACUACAUCUGAAAGCCACAGCUCCUCUCUGUCCAGGGCUCUGCACAGCUGGCUCCUUCACCUCGGACCCUCUCUGCAGCCGUGUGGCCAUGGCCGGUAAGGCACCAGGCAGCUCACACCCGCCUCUGCCACCCUCUCACUGGGUUCCCCACCCGAUUUACUGCUGCUCUCUGCCUCUCUCAGCUCUCAGUAGCUCCUUCCUGGUGGGCAUCCCUGAUCAUCCUCUUGAGCCUCACCCACCGCUUCCUCCAACAGCCGCUGAUACGCCCCAUCCAUCCUUGGCUUUCCUUCCUGCUUGGUACUGGCACAGCACGCGUUCCCCUUGGUGUCUUUUCUGCUUGAUGGUGAUUCAGAUCCCUUUGCUUACUUUCUGCACCCUCAAUGCCUAGAGCAGUAUAUGGGGCACAGAGCAGACAACCAGUGGACUUUCGUUGACUGAGUCCCGAGUUCAAGCAGAACCUCUCAUUUCCUGAUUGCAGCGCAUGCAUCUCAAUUUCUUUCAUAUGUGUCUGUUCUGUUUAACUGGACUAUAUCGUGUAUACAGUUCAUUGCUAAUACACACAAAUGGGCGGAGAGCUUACACCCUAGGCCUGAUGAUGAACAGAAAGCGAUGGUCCUUGUAGCGUAGGUCCUCGUAGCUCAGCAGUAUCUGGACCCUGCCACCGGCUGUGCGUCCUUUCCCCGCCCUCUCCUCCCCUUAUUGCCUUGUCUUAGGACAAUAUUAUCACUCCCGGAGAAAUCCUUCCUCCCUACUGCUUCUGCUAAUUUAAUCCUGGAUUUUUAAGCAGCUGUGAGGGGUGGGGUUGGGGUGGACGUGGGGGAAUGUAGUCCAGCCACCAUACAUCAUCUUAGAGAAGAAAAGGCUUGACGUUUUCAUUGGUGGAUCAAUCCCGAAGCUCUGGGACUGGAGAAGACCCCAGAGGUCAUCCCAUCCAUCUUUGCACCUCUAAGCAGUGCCGUUCUGAAAAUCAUCCCCCAAACCGACUGUCUGGCUUUUUCUCUGACUGUUCUCUAAGGGAGCUACCCUCUUAACCUCUCUUGAUGGGCCGCUUUAGCGUUUUAGUGGAAAAUGUAAAAUUAUUAUGAAGGCAGCGGCAGUGCUGUCGGACAGAGAAUUGGGGCACAGACCAUAAGCCUGGAGCCUUAGGUGGAAACCACGGCUUCCGAAGAUGAGACCAAGGUAGGUUUGAAUUUUGACCCGAGCACUGGUUAGCUAAUUCGGUGACCCUGUGGAAGUAAAUUAGCCUUAGAAACAAUUCCCAAAGUAAGAACAAAUAAACACAAAGUGAAUCAUAAGUACUUAAUUUAAAAUAGAUUAUUCCCUUUUAAAAUUUUAGGUGUGUGUGUGUGUGUGUGUGUGUGUGUGUGUGUGUGUGUGUGUGUGUGAGUUGUAUGAGUUGGUCCCAUGUGGUCUUCCAUGAUGUGGGAACUGGAGAAUCAAACUCAGAUUGUCUGGCUUAGUGGCAGGCAUGAACCUUUACCCAGUGGGCCAUUCCUUUGGCUCGCUAAGAUCCACACGUUGAUACAUACAUAUGCAUAUAUGUGAAAUAUUAAAUGCAUUGUCUCAAUAAGCACAUGGAUACAUCCUCAGUCAGUGUUUCCUCUGACCUUCCUUGUUUUAACUGCUCCUUCUCCCCACCCAGAUGCAUUUCCUGAUCAAUAGGUUCCAAGCCUUUUGUUCUCGACCUUCCUAAUGCUGGGACCCUUUAACACAGUUCCUCACGCUAUGGUGAUCCAAGACCAUAAAAUUAUUUUUGUUGCUACUUCAAAACUGUAACUUUUCUACUGUUACGAAUCGUAAUGGAGAUAUUUUGUGUUUUCCAAUAGUCCUAGGUGACCCUUGUGAAAGGGUUAUUCAACCAGCUAAGAGGUUGGGACCCACAAGUUGAGAACCGAUGCUCUAAGCCUUCGUGAUAGAACUUUCAAGUUCAAGAAAACCUGUCAGCUUCAUGAUAUCCUAAACUCUGCAAGGCUACCCUCAACUUGAAGAUCAUUAUAGUCAAGUUAGAGAACAGACACGCACUCGGAAGACUGCAUCUCAGUAACAACCACAGGUGGACCAGGGGUGUGGAUGUGAGCGCUCGAGCUUAUGGAAUCUUCAUGCCUUCGUCUGUAAAAUGGAUUGAUAACAUCUUCUUCUCUGGGUGGCAUCUUGCAUUGAUUACAUGAGAUUAUGUAUGGAAAGGACCUGGCUUAUAGCCUGGGAAUGGUGUGUGCUUAAUACACGAUAAUUACACUAAUAGUUGACGUGCAUUGUCUACUCUGUCUGUGUCGGGCAUUGAGAAGUGCCUUCUGUAUUAACUUGUUCCUGGUAAAUGGUUAUCACGUUCAUUCAAGGUUAUUGCUUCCAUUAUCAUUCCUAUUAUUACAUUUUAAAGACCCAGGAGGGAGAGUGACAAUGGGCUCUUUCCACUCAAGCAUCCAUUCUUCAGUUGUUAAAGUCGGUGAGUUCCACCCAAGUCAGUCCAAGUGACUGGUGCCAACGCAAGGAGGAAAGGCGAGGCAGGGCUCAGAGAGAAGCACCUGGAAAGAGGAGUCAGUCUGUUGCCCUCAGGUGUCAUAGCUGUUCUGAGCUGCAUGGUGGCUGGGUGCCCAGGUUUCUUUCUCAAGCAAGACAAAGCAGAGGAAGCUACCUCUCACCAGCAUAUGGAUGGUGACUGGACCAAGAGAUGGGUGACAGGGAGAGGGCGUACCUCUUUCAUGACAAUGCUGUCUGACGUCUGUGGCUGUUGAGUCUCCCCAUCUUUCCAGAACUGGGGAGGGGAGGGGAAGAAUGUGUUUUUUAUUGCGGGGUUAAAAAAAAAACCUAACCAAACAAAAAACAUUACCAAGUAAAACUGACCUAGCCGGUUGAGAUGCUUCCAAGGAGAAAAAUGAAGACGGUUGGCACAGCGAGCUGUUCAUCUCAUGUUGGCCAGGGCACAGAGAGGAAGGGACUAGAUUCCCAGAGUGCACUGAAAUGCAAGCCUCCAAUGACUCAAUUUCCUCCUUUCUCCAACCAGUGCCCCUAAUUCACACUGUCAGAAGCUGGAGACCAAGUCCUGACACAAGGCUGGGGCUGGGGGAUGGGACACAGGCAACUUUUAUCCCAACAACAACAGUGGUGUGGCAAAGGUGCUGUGAAAUUAUUUUCCAUAGUGACUUUUGAACUAGAAACAAGUUACAACCAUUUAACUUCAAAAGAAAGUGGAGCAAAGGGAAUUUUGGGAACUUCGUAAUUCACCACAAAAGAGAAAAGCUGCUACAUAUUCGCAGUGCCUGCAUUCACUGGGCAGCCAGAUGGUUCUUAAUGGGAAGUGAUCUGAGAUGUGGCAUUUUCUAUAGGAAAAAAUGGUUAGGGGCCAUUUGGAAAGAACAGAGUGAAUCAAAUGACCAGUUCAGUGUACCAAACUUGAAAUGUCCUUCCAAAUGGCUGCACUCCCCAUUUAAUUUGAUAACAUAUUAGUUUGUAAUUUGUUAGGUAGGCAGGUUGGAGCUUUCUCUGAGCAUAUUUGAAUGGGUUUCUUAAGUACUCUGGGAGGCUUGCAGGAGGAAUAGGGUCAUGUUUCUUAGGAAGAGCCUCCUACUCUGUCCAAGAACCCCACAAUUGUUCUCUUUGAUUCCUUCUACCCUCCGAGUGCCCCCACAUGUAUGUAUGUAUGCAGUCACUUGUAUGUGCACUUGUAGAGGAAAGCAGUCAAUGUUGAGUGAG
rnacentral:sRNA from 1 species